AACAGAUUAGAGAAGGGGUGUCAAACUCAAGUUCCCUAAGGGCCACAUCGUAAAAAGAGAAUCCCAUCAAGGGCCAGACAUGUAUACUUUAUUGACAUGCUUUUAUUCACUCAAAAAA